rnacentral:rRNA from 1 species
GAUGAACGCUAGCGGCGUGCCUAAUACAUGCAAGUCGAGGGACCAGACGAGGAUCUUACUACACUGACUGUAGCGGCGGACAGGUGAGUAACACGUGGAUACCCUACCUAUUAAACUGGGGUAACUUCGGGGGAAAGCCGGUAAUACCCGAUAAUAUAUUAUACAGCAUGGUUCCUUAGUGAUUGACGGUUUUGCUGUCACUUAUAGAUGGAUCCGCGCCGCAUUAGCUAGUUGGUAUGGUAACGGCUUACCCCGGCAACCAUGCGUAGAGGAACUGAGAGGGGGGUCGGCCACACUGGAAGUGAGACACGGUCCAGACCCCUACGGUAGGCAGCAGAAGGGAAUGUACCGCAAUGGGAGGAAGCCUGAUGGAGCACAGCCGCGUGAGGGAUGAAGGUCUUCGGAUCUUAAAACUCUGUUACUAGUGUAGAACACAUGUGCAAGGUACUAUGCCCGUCUUGACGGUACCUAAGCAGAAAGCCCCGGCUAACUACGUG